AUACGUAGGGGGCGAGCGUUGUCCGGAAUUAUUGGGCGUAAAGGGCGUGUAGGCGGCCAUGCAAGUCAGGGGUGAAACCCCGGGGCUCAACCCCGGGCAUGCCUCUGAAACUGCAGGGCUUGAGUGCUCUAGAGGGCAGUGGAAUUCCCGGUGUAGCAGUGAAAUGCGUAGAGAUCGGGAGGAACACCAGUGGCGAAGGCGACUGCCUGGGGAGUAACUGACGCUGAGGCGCGAAAGCUAGGGGAGCAAACAGGAUUAGAUACCCUGGUAGUCCUAGCCGUAAACGAUGAGUGCUAUGUGUGAGGGGUAUCGACCCCCCUCGUGCAGCAGUUAACGCAAUAAGCACUCCGCCUGGGGAGUACGGCCGCAAGGUUGAA
rnacentral:rRNA from 1 species